UGUGUCCUCCUCUUCUCUCCUUCUUCCCCCACCUCUUCUUUCAGAUUGAUCCAGAUAGAUAGAUAGAUGAGAGAGUUGAGCUGAUGGUUGGUGUCAAAUCAUCACUCUGAAAAUGGUUUUGGAAGCUUCGAUAGAUGCUAAGUUCUCAUAAUUUAAUUCAAACUAUCAUCCAUCUUAUCAUCUCUCUCUCUCUCCUUCUCUCCCUAUUUCAAUUUCUUUCAUCGAUCUUACCAACUCUGCCUCGCACAACUAUACGACCCUCUUAUGAAAUCCCUUUUCAUGAUUAUUGCUUCUAGGAGUCUUUGAGAUCUUGAGCUUUACAAGUUUGAAAGAGAGAUCCAUCGUGGCCUCACUGAGACUCUGAAGUUCAAUGACAGAAAAAAAAGAUUGGGUUUUGGAGAAUCUUUGGAGGGAAAAAGUGAUAACAGAUUGAUUCUUUCGAUGUCAUUGACAUCAGAAACGAACGAGAUAUUAGUUGCAAUCACAGAACAUGAAAAGCUAGCCCUUCGUUUUCACGUUUUGUAUUCCUCUGGGUUU